UCCUCAGUAGCUCAGUGGUAGAGCAGUCGGCUGUUAAUCGAUUGGUCGUAGGUUCGAAUCCUACUUGGGGAG
rnacentral:tRNA from 1 species